rnacentral:rRNA from 1 species
ACGCUGGCGGCACGCUUAACACAUGCAAGUCGAACGAAGAUGUUUCACCGUAGCUUGCUACACCGAGACAUUUUAGUGGCGGACGGGUGAGUAACACGUGAGCAAUCUGCCUUUCAGAGGGGGAUACCAGUUGGAAACGACUGUUAAUACCGCAUAACAUAUCGAGAUCGCAUGAUAUUGAUAUCAAAGAUUUAUCGCUGAAAGAUGAGCUCGCGUCUGAUUAGAUAGUUGGUGAGGUAACGGCUCACCAAGUCGACGAUCAUUAGCCGGACUGAGAGGUUGAACGGCCACAUUGGGACUGAGAUACGGUCCAGACUCCUACGGGAGGCAGCAGUGGGGAAUAUUGGGCAAUGGGCGAAAGCCUGACCCAGCGACGCCGCGUGAGGGAAGAAGGUCUUCGGAUUGUAAACCUUUGUUGACAGGGAAGAAGAAAGUGACGGUACCUGUAAAGAAAGCCACGGCUAACUACGUG